CUUACACAUGCAGUCGAGCGGGGGAAGGUAGCUUGCUACUGGACCUAGCGGCGGACGGGUGAGUAAUGCUUAGGAAUCUGCCUAUUAGUGGGGGACAACAUCUCGAAAGGGAUGCUAAUACCGCAUACGUCCUACGGGAGAAAGCAGGGGAUCUUCGGACCUUGCGCUAAUAGAUGAGCCUAAGUCGGAUUAGCUAGUUGGUGGGGUAAAGGCCUACCAAGGCGACGAUCUGUAGCGGGUCUGAGAGGAUGAUCCGCCACACUGGGACUGAGACACGGCCCAGACUCCUACGGGAGGCAGCAGUGGGGAAUAUUGGACAAUGGGCGCAAGCCUGAUCCAGCCAUGCCGCGUGUGUGAAGAAGGCCUUAUGGUUGUAAAGCACUUUAAGCGAGGAGGAGGCUACUUUAGAUAAUACCUAGAGAUAGUGGACGUUACUCGCAGAAUAAGCACCGGCUAACUCUGUGCCAGCAGCCGCGGUAAUACAGAGGGUGCAAGCGUUAAUCGGAUUUACUGGGCGUAAAGCGCGCGUAGGCGGCUAAUUAAGUCAAAUGUGAAAUCCCCGAGCUUAACUUGGGAAUUGCAUUCGAUACUGGUUAGCUAGAGUGUGGGAGAGGAUGGUAGAAUUCCAGGUGUAUCGGUGAAAUGCGUAGAGAUCUAGAGGAGUACCGAUUGGGAAUAGCAGCCAUCGGGCCUAACAAU
rnacentral:rRNA from 1 species